rnacentral:rRNA from 1 species
UACGUAGGGGGCGAGCGUUGUCCGAAGUUACUGGGCGUAAAGCGCGCGUAGGCGGUCCUUUAAGUCUGAGGUGAAAGGUUCAGCGCUCAACGUGAACAGUGCCUUGGAGACUGGGGGACUUGAGUGUGGGAGAGGGCAGUGGAAUUCCUGGUGUAGCGGUGAAAUGCGUAGAUAUCAGGAGGAACACCGAUGGCGAAGGCAGCUGCC